rnacentral:rRNA from 1 species
UACGGGGGGGGCAAGCGUUGUUCGGAAUUACUGGGCGUAAAGGCCAGUAGGCGGCCAACUAAGUCGGAUGUGAAAUCCCCAGGCUCAACUUGGGAACUGCAUCCGAUACUGGAUGGCUUGAAUUCGGGAGAGGGAUGCAGAAUUCCAGGUGUAGCGGUGAAAUGCGUAGAUAUCUGGAGGAAUACCGGUGGCGAAGGCGGCAUCCUGGACCGACAUUGACGCUGAACGGCGAAAAGCUAGGGGGAGCAAACGGG